CCUACGGGAGGCAGCAGUGGGGAAUAUUGGACAAUGGGGGGAACCCUGAUCCAGCCAUGCCGCGUGUGUGAAGAAGGCCCUCGGGUUGUAAAGCACUUUCAGUGAGGAAGAACGCCUGGUGGUUAAUACCCAUCAGGAAAGACAUCACUCACAGAAGAAGCACCGGCUAACUCCGUGCCAGCAGCCGCGGUAAUACGGAGGGUGCGAGCGUUAAUCGGAAUUACUGGGCGUAAAGCGCGCGUAGGUGGCUUGAUAAGCCGGUUGUGAAAGCCCCGGGCUCACCUGGGAACGGCAUCCGGAACUGUCAAGCUAGAGUGCAGGAGAGGAAGGUAGAAUUCCCGGUGUAGCGGUGAAAUGCGUAGAGAUCGGGAGGAAUACCAGUGGCGAAGGCGGCCUUCUGGACUGACACUGACACUGAGGUGCGAAAGCGUGGGUAGCAAACAGGAUUAGAUACCCGGGUAGUC
rnacentral:rRNA from 1 species